GGUAAGGCUGGACUAUUCUUACUUUGUUCAAACAAAUCCAAUUUUUGUCUUUCUAAAGCUGACCAGCCAUAUUGAUGCUUUUCUUCAGCAUAAUCCAUCUUUUGCUCAUGAUGAUCUCUUGCAUCUCUUUCUAGCUCAUUACAUAAAUUUGAAGAUAAUAUAUCUGCUUACAGAAAUAUUUGCAGCACUAUUGUGAGGUCUCUGGCACCAUGAUGAUGAUGAAGAGAGGACUGUGAGCCACCAGUGAAAGGGACUGUGGAAAGCAACACCACUGUGAACGGGGUGAUUGAAUGACUACCUGACAUCUCACAGCUCCAGAUCAGCAGGCUGAUGUGACUGUUGGUAAUCAUCUGUGGUGUAGGAGGCUACAUGGUAAAAGAAAUUAUGACUUUCAGAGGAUCUGGACAAAAGAACUGAUGUCAAUGUUGAUGAGUGAAGGGACUUCUGCUGACAAGACUUCAGUUCUACCAUGAGAAAUUCAAAGAGUCAUAGAAUAGUUUGGGUUGGAAGGGAUGUUCAAAGCUUGUCUAGUCCAGACCCCUGCCACGAGCAGGACAUUUUCACCCAGAUCAGGUUGCUCAGAGCCCCGUCCAGCCUGGCCUGGGAUGUCUCCAGGGUUGGGGCAUCCACCACCUCUCUGGGCAACCUGGGCCAGUAUUUUACCACCUUCAUUGUAAAAAAUUUCUUCCUCAUGUCUACCCUGAAUCUCCCCUCAUUUAGUUUAAAACUGUUACCUCUUGUCCUUUUGCAACAGGCCCUGCUAAAAGUCUGUCCCAUCUUUAUUACAGUCCCCUUUCAAGUACUGAAAGGCUGCAAUAACGUCUCCCUGGAGCCUUCUCUUCUCCAGGCUGAACAACCCCAGCUCUCUCAGCCUGUCCUCCCAGCAGAGCUGUUCCAGCCUCUGAUCAUUUCUGUGGCUCCUCUGGCCCCUCUCCAACAGGUCCAUGUCUUUCCUGCACUGAGGGCUCCAGAGCUGGACACAGGACUCCAGGUGGGGUCUCACCAGAGCGGAGCAGAGGGGCAGAAUUGAACUCCCUUAACAGAGAGGCUGGGAAUUGAUGACAAUGUUGACUGUGAUAAUCCUGGUUUUCUCACCCAUCUCCCCAGGCUACUGGUGUCACAAACUUGGGGGGGCAGAAUGGCAUGGACACCCAGGAUCUGCCUUAUGGCUUCUGAUGUUCCUUUCUUUCACCUGCAGAGGAGCAGCAUGAGAGCUUAAUGAGACACUGCUGUACGAGCUGGAGCAAGCCACACAACCUGCCAAGAAGUGGUCCCCACAUUUAUGGCCAGCAAUGCAUUGAAAUAGAUGAAGAUAUUGAAUAUUAAAUGAUGAACAAACCAAGCCUUAGAAGACCAAGAAUGGCUAUAACUACUGGCGCAUUUGUGUCUAUUACCGACAACUCAUUGCUGAAUGGAAAAUAAUUCCAAGAUCAGAGAAGACCUGAAAAUUCUGACGUUUGUUUCAGGAUUGCUGAAAGUGACCUGGACAGAUAUACAUGGAUGUUGCAAAGGGAUCUUUCUGUGCAAUGGGAAAGAAUAUUUUAGAAGGGAUACAGCUAUUUAGUGCUGUUACUUGUCUACACAUAUCUACUGGUCUGACCAUCCUAAGUUUGAGAUGCAGCAGCUCAAGAUGCAGAGCUGCAGAGUUCCUAUCAUAGACAUUCUUUGCAGAAUAUGUGUGCAGCUGAAGUACAGUUUUUCAAGCAGAAGGAAAGCAUCAAGAAAGGCACAUAUGCAGUUCUUCACACACUGCUUAUCAGCCCCAUGUUUGUCACAGCAUCAUUGCAAGGAACACAGAGAAGAGCUGUGUUUUGAUAAAAACUCUUGUAUUUAUGGAUAAAGUCCAAAUCUCUAUAACACAGCAAAGGGAGCUGGUUCAGCUCUUCAGAGGAUUCAGUAACUAUUCUGCAGCAGAAGUCAGAAUGGUGUUUUAUGGCUUUUCUUUCUCAAACGGCUUGCUUACAUGGGCUUGUGCUUUAACACAUCUGGUGUCUAUGUAGAAAUGAUGAGCUCACUUCAGCUUGAUUUCAAGAGCUUGACUUCAGGCUGUGAAGUUGUUGGGCCAGCACUCAGGGACAGAUUGCUGGUGUCCUGCAUAACACUACAUAAAUAUGAAAAAUAGCUGGUGCUCAGGUUCUGAGCAGAAACAGCAAUUAAUAAUGCUGAGUUUACAUAAAAAUCAGUUCUGGAAACCAUACUUCUAUAAGGAAUAUAUUUCACUAUACUACCCAAACUUUGGAUUACUUGAAAUGCCACCAGGUUUUAGCUUCCACAGGUUUACAAGAUUUCUGCGUUCUCCUCAUUCUGCCAAUCUCUAGCUUGAACAUGUAAUGGUGAGGGGUUGUUUUUUUCUUAUUCAAAGUGGAACCUAGAAACAUGGAAAUCUAUCUGCUUCCCAAAUUCCCCUCAUUGGAUCUAUGAGCACCUCACAAUUUAUGCUAGAAAAAUAGAGUAGUGUCCUGUGUCAACACCACCAGUAAUUCCCAAUAAUGUAAAGCGAAUUAAUCAAAUAUGCAACUAAGACAAUGGACAUAAUACAUUUAUAGAGAUAAAAGGAGUUUAAAGGUCUUCAGAGCUAAUUGCUUUGAUGUAGUUAGAAAGGUCAAUAGAGUAUAACAUAGUUACAUAUCCCACAGAAUCACAGAAUGUCAGGGAUUGGAAGGGACCUCAAAAGAUCAUCUAGUCCAAUCCCCCUGCCAGAGCAGGAACACCCAGAUGAGGUUACACAGGAAGGUGUCCAGGCGGGUUCUGAAUGUCUCCAGAGAAGGAGACUCCACAACCCCCCUGGGCAGCCUGUUCCAGUGUCUGUCACCCUCACUGAGAAGAAGUUUCUUAUCAUAUUUAAGUGGAACCUCCUGUGUUCCAGUUAAUGCCCACUACCCCUUGACCUAUCAUUGGUUGUCACCAAGAAGAGCCUGGCUCCUUGUGACACUCACCCUUUAUAUAUUUGUAAACAUUAAUAAGGUCACCCCUCAGUCUCCUCUUCUCCAAGCUAAAGAGCCCCAGCUCCCUCAGCCUUUCCUCACACAGGAGAUGCUCCACUCCCUUCAUCAUCUUUUGUUGCCCUGCGCUGGACUCUCUCCAGCAGUUCCCUGUCCUUCUGGAACUGAGGGGCCCAGAACUGGACACAAUAUUCCAGGUGUGGUCUCACCAGGGCAAAGUAGAGAGGGAGGAGAACCUCUCUGACCUACUAACCACCCCUCUUCUAAUCCACCCCAGGUACCGUUGGCCUUCCUGGCCACAAGGGCACAGUGCUGGCUCAUGGCCAUCCUGCUGUCCACCAGGACCCCCAGGUCCCUUUCCCCUACACUGCUUUCCACUUCCUCCUUCUCAGUGUGAAUACCACUGCUUAUCUGUAUUUACACUACAGUACACAUCAGGACAAAACCAUUAUCCUCACUAUAAAAUCACGUACCAUCUAGACAGGCUUCUACACACAGCAGGUUGUAUAGUUUGGAUAUAAAUUCAGUGGGCUUGACAUGUUAAAAUGAACUUGAUAGCUGUGUGCUAUUCUUGUGUAGACAUCACAUUAAAGACUCUCAUUUGCUGAAAUCUGCAAGGAUCUUUUUUUAUUUUCAAAUAAAUCUCAACACAAAACCAGCAGCUUCAAACUCUGUCUCAAGCACAGCAC